CCUACGGGAGGCAGCAGUAGGGAAUUUUCGUCAAUGGGCGCAAGCCUGAACGAGCGAUGCCGCGUGAGUGAAGAAGGCCUUCGGGUCGUAAAGCUCUGUUGCGGGGGAAAAAAGGCAGCAUCAGGAAAUGGGUGCUGACUGAUGGUGCCCCGCCAGAAAGUCACGGCUAACUACGUGCCAGCAGCCGCGGUAAUACGUAGGUGGCGAGCGUUAUCCGGAAGGAUUGGGCGUAAAGGGUGCGCAGGCGGUCCUGCAAGUCUGGAGUGAAACGCAUGAGCUCAACUCAUGCAUGGCUUUGGAAACUGGAGGACUGGAGAGAAGGAGAGGGCGGUGGAACGCCAUGUGUAGCGGUAAAAUGCGUAGAUAUAUGGAAGAACACCAGUGGCGAAGGCGGCCGCCUGGCCUGUUGCUGACGCUGAGGCACGAAAGCGUGGGGAGCAAAUAGGAUUAGAUACCCUAGUAGUC
rnacentral:rRNA from 1 species